rnacentral:rRNA from 1 species
UGCCUAAUACAUGCAAGUCGAACGAGGAAAGCCUUCGGGUGAGUACUAGUGGCGCACGGGUGAGUAACGCGUGGGUAAUCUGCCUUAGAGUGGGGGACAACCAGUCGAAAGAUUGGCUAAUACCGCAUAAGACCACAGGAUCUGCGGAUCUAGGGGUUAAAGGUUUUUCGCUCUAAGAUGAGCCCGCGUGGGAUUAGCUAGUUGGUAGGGUAACGGCCUACCAAGGCUACGAUCUCUAACUGGUCUGAGAGGAUGAUCAGUCACACUGGAACUGAGACACGGUCCAGACUCCUACGGGAGGCAGCAGUAGGGAAUAUUGCACCAUGGAGGAAACUCUGAUGCAGCGACGCCGCGUGAGUGUUGUAUGACUUCGGUUCGUAAAGCUC